ACAAGCAAAAGCUGCCGGCUACUCCAUUUAUUUACUUCCUCGUUCCUGUCCUCACUUCCUUUAAUGUCCGUGCGUGCAGUGCCAGGGUUGUGUCUGUUUUCCCAUCGUGUGUGCUCCUUUCAGCUGCCCACUGAAGGCGUGCAGGAGCAUGGCUGCAUCAGUACCUGCUGGGCUGCAGUGGGGGACCCUAGAGCAGAGGAAAGACGCUGGAGAGAACCUGUAUCACCUGAUAUACCUGUGGAAGGUGCAGCAGCUGCCCCCAGAUGUUCACAGGUUCUGUGACCCCCAGCUACCUGCCCCCCGCAGGAAGGAGCUGCUGCACCUGCUGAGGAGCUUGGAGGAUGAGUCCAGUUGUCAGCGCUUGCAGAUCCUGUUCUCUUUCUCUGUGCCCAGUCCACAAGUGCUGGACCUGCUGUGUGCCCAGCACUUGCCCCUGGUGUCUGCAGGAGCUGGCACAGGGUACUGGGAAUUCUUACUACAAUGCCGUGGACUUGAUGUAGUGGUUUUUGACCAGAACAGCAUUUUCCCACCUGAGAUGCGUUAUACGGAGGUGAUGGGCACUGGUGCAUCCUCUGAACAUACAACUUGUUAUAUCUAGACUGGAGGUCCAGAACUUUUGGAGAACUAUCCAGAUAGAGCCCUGUUCCUGGCCUGGCCUGAUGCAGAUGACUCUUCCCACUUCUCUCUGGAUUGUCUGAUUUUCUUCAGGGGCCAAACUCUUUUCCACGUGGGUGAAUUGCUUGGCGAAACGCUGUCAUCCAACCCCUGGGGACAGUCCACCUCUCGUGAAUUCCAACUCGCUCUGGCCGAAGACUUCUGCUGUGUGAAGAGGAUCCGGCUGCCCAGGUGGCCAGGACAUGUAGACUCAUUCAGUGUGUGGAAGAGAAAGAAUCCACAGUUUGUCCUCUGUGAUGGGGCACAUUUCCAGUAUGUGGAGACACAGUUGGAAGAAGACGAAUAACCACAAUGUUUUGUCUACAAAGAGUCACAAUCUAGAGUCAAGACAUCUUCCAUGGUGGUGGCAGAAUGUGACUAGGUCUUCGCUUAAGCAGUGUUCUACCUACUCUACCUCCAUCAAUUCCUGCAAAAAUCUUCCAUCGCCGCCAGUGCUUGUUCUAUUAUGAAUGUAGUUCUUAUUCCAGUGCUGCAAGAGAACCAGAAGCUUAAUAGGUGGCUUCAGUUAUGGAAGGGUAGAAAUGUGCUCUUCCAUUUGGAAAUUCAGAUUCUUCGGUCUUAUAGACGGUUAUCAUGUAAAUGAAUAGAUCCCUAUGGGAAAGGUGCUUUCAUCCACAUUGAACAUCAUAGAUAGUCAUACAGUGUUUUUAUGUACUUCAGUUAAUGAUCAGUGAGGGGGCAGCUUGUAUUGGGGGUGGUUGUCCUAAAGUGGGCAGCCCUUUAAGGUAUCGGUCAGAAAUGCAAACACCAAAUGCUUUAUGUAAAUGUGAGUUCUCCGUUGUGACAGUUUAUAAAAGAAAGAUACAGUAAAUAUAUGACUUGCUGAA